rnacentral:tRNA from 1 species
GAGCGUAUGGUUCAGUGGUAGAGCACAUGCUUAGCAUGCAUGAGGUCCUGGGUUCAAUCCUCAGUGCCUCCU